rnacentral:lncRNA from 1 species
CAACUUUCAAUUGAGUGCUUACUAUAUGCUAAACAAUUUUCCUGUAUUAUCUUAUUAUUCUUCCCGACAGUCUUUUGAGCUAGGAUCUUCUAUUAUUACCUUUUUUUUUUUUUUUUUGAGGCAGAUCAGCCCUGAGCUAACAUCUGAGGCCAAUCCUCCUCUUUUUGCUGAGGAAGACUAGCCCUGAGCUAACAUCCGUGCCCAUCUUCCUCUACUUUAUAUAUGGGAUGCCUACCAUAGCAUGGCUUGCCAAGUGGUGCCAUGUCUGCCCCUGGGAUCUGAAGCAGCGAACCCCUGGCCGCCAAAGCAGAACGUGUGCACUUAACCGCUGUGCCACCAGGCCAGCCCCCCUAUUAUUACCAUUUUAUAGAAGAGGACGUUGAGUCUUAGAGGAAAUGACUUGCCUAAGGUCACACAGAUAAGUGGAUGAAUCCAUCCUCACUUUGGUCUUUCUGACUCAAAGACUAUUCUCAGAACCACUAAAUUGCGAUCAUGUGUAGGAAAGUGCUUUGUAAACAGCGAAAGACAAUGCAACUACACACCCGCACAUAGUGUGGCAACUUACAUAGUAGGUGCCUGCAGUAUUUGCUGAAUUGAGGUAGGGUGGAAGGGAGCCACAAGCUAAACAGUACCAUCACCUGAGGAAAGAAAAAGCAGUCUUGAGGACCCUAGAGAAACAGCCUUCCACUAAAUGCUGAAUUUUUUGUGGUGCUCGUCAGCUAGUACAGGACACUUUAAAGUAGGCAUUACCCAGAAGUUUGCCCAAGUGGUUUCUCUCUUUCCCUCUUCAAUUUUAAGUCCCCACAGCUGUUGGGACUGUUGGGUUAACAAAUGCACAAUUAUCCCAUGGGGCUGGGGAUUGCCUAGCUCCUAAAUCACCCCUGAUUUAACAGGCCUGGGCCUGCUUCCUGAAUUGGGGAUCUUCAGGGAUUACUAACAGUGGUUUUAGAUGUUUCAUUGUGUCUUUGGAGAUGCAAGAGAACCCUAGAAUUAGCCAGCUUUUAACUCCUUGCUGCACUGAAUUCUACAGACAAGGGGUUUAAAGCAUAUUCCUUGAACAUUCUAACUCCAUAUGCUAAAGUUGCAGUGGGAUUCAAUUUAAGGAUCUUUGUUAUCAAGAAGACCAGGAGGGAAGGAACACCACGUGGAAAUUCCAUCUUCCCCAUCACUCGGCUGGUUUAAAGGUCCCUUCUGGACUGUGUCCCAUGUAUGCAUAUCCUCUCUUUCCUACAACUUAUCCAUUCCGUGUUCUCAGGUACUUAGUUUGGGUGUAGCUGAGCCUAUCUCUGGCUCCAGAGAAGAUCCAGAUUGGCUGAAGCUAAAGUACAGCCUUGGCCAGACUAAUUAGUUUGGGGAUGGGCUCUUGACUCAAUUUGGGCUACAGUGCUUUCUGCAGAACACUAAUCAAAAUAAACUCUGCAUGAAGUGGGGGAUGGUCCAUGAGGUAAGUUUGGGAAAUGCUGUAAACAAUAUUCCCUCUUGGGGAUUCUGUGUUCUUACACUUCAAUUAUCCCGUCUCUCCCCAGAUUGUUCAACUGCUCCCUCUCAGCUAGAUGAUUGCUGUGGCUUUAAACAUGCUUAAGUGUCUUAAAUCUUGCAUAAAAAAAAAAAAAGAAAAAAUCUACAUGAAUCCCACACUCCCUCUAGCCUACCAUCCCAUCUCCUGCCUUUCGCAACUACAAAAUUGUCAGUAUUUCCUCUCCCCGCUUCCUGACUUCCCAUUCUAUUCUGUCACUCCUCCACUGAAAUGACCCUAAGGUCACCCAUACCUCUGUGUUAAAACCACAUGGCUGUUUGUCAAUCCUCAUCUCCUUUGAUUUCCCAGUAGCAUUUGACACUGUUGGCUCUUUCCUCCUCCUUGAAGUACCCUUCUUCCACUGGCUUCCGUGACAUCACAUGACUCUCCUGGUCUUAAGCCUAGCUCUGUGACUGCCCCUUCUCCCUGUCUUCUGCAGACUCAUUCUCUUCUAUACAACCACUAAAUGAUGGGGUUUCUUGAGGCUAAGUUGCGGGCUCUCUCCUCUUACUUUGUUCUCUCUUCUUAGACAAUCUCGUCCAUGCUCAUGGCUUCAGUUACCAGCAGGCCUCAGUCAGGAGCCCACCCCCGGAGCAGAGAGGGAUGGGGACCUGAUAAUGGGGGAGGGGAACUGUUUCCCUAAUAAUAGGGGGAAAUCAGGGUACUAUUACCAAAAGAAGGAGAAAGGGAUGCUGAAGAGUAGAAAAACAAAAACCAGAUGAUUGCUACGGGCAUGCAUUCUGGGUAAGCUCAUGUAAAUGAAUGACACAGGCUCCUUUCUGGUCUCAGAAAUUUCUGGUCAUUGGAACCCUAAGGAGGACUGAGUACAGGCCAAAAAAAAAAUAUGCUGAUUUCCUUUGAAGACAGAACACUGUGUGGUUUGUAGAGGAGGCAGCCUUGGCUAGACAGCUUAUAUCAACUUUUUCCAUGCCUCAGCAUCCUGAAAGAACAUGUAGCAAGAAGAGGGGAGGUAGACAGACCACUAGCAACCCACUUUUUAAUACAUCCCCAACGUCUUGAGUGCCAAGAGGAUACUUCAGUCUGAGGUUAGACACCAUCAUCUCAGGGCUCUUGUUUUUGCUUUUCUAAUAGGUACCUGGGAGAACUCACAACUGCUUUCUGCUGGGCCAGAAGCAUUUGUAUCCUGACCAUCUGUGGGGUCUUGCUCAGAGUUACAGAAAGGCCUCUCACAUAAUCAGGCAGACAGCUAUCCAGUCUGAGACAGCACUGGACUGGGGCAGACCUGUCUCUGUAGAACCUGAUGCCUGGAGGAGCAGAAGAAAGUGUGUGCUGUCAGAGAGAAGAAAGGAGGGAAGGCACUGAGGAAACAGCUCUAACAGCCCAGCAGCUGAUGACUCCAGGACGUGGGGAGGAGGGCUGGGUCCAGGGACGAACGAG